rnacentral:lncRNA from 1 species
AAAGGAGGGACCUAAAAAAUCUAAAAGAAAAAAAAAGAACACUCUAGAGAAAAGCUGCCAGCCGCAACUUUACAGAGGAAUCCCCACCCCCUAACGUCUUCUUCUAGGCAGAACACCAAAGAACCCCUUUGAUCUUCUUCUUCCUCAUUCCAACAAUAGUAUUCCAGCAUCUAGAGAAGGGCUAGGAAAUCCACAGUUUCAACACCAGAGAUCCUCCCAAACACAAAGGAUCAGUUGCUCUCAAUUUCAUCGAUCGGUGCAUUUCGGAAUUUUAUUCCAUUUUUUAAUUUUUCCGGCGUAGUCAGGAAGGAAAAUGUGGCAUUGUUGGAUUAAUUGCUCGAUUAGUGUUAAUUUUCAAGCCACAGUGGCAAGAAGCAAAUUCGUAGGCGUUUCUUGUGGAAAUUAGGGAACGAAUUGGAUGUUUACGAAGGUUAUGAGUUUGAUUACGUUCAACUCGACAGUUGAUUUCUUGGUUGUCCGCUGAGUGUCGAUUUCGGGUCCCUGCUCGUGUUUUAGGGAUUUGGGAGGCAAUAUUUCAAAUUUCAUUUGGCAAAAUAUAUUUGAGAGUCGAGGUUUCCGAUCUGAUUUAGUGAGGUUUCCGGUCGGGGUCCUGUUCGAGUUUUCGAUUCCGAUGGUGUUGUCAAAUUUUAGUUUCCUAGCUGAGCGGUCAUUGCUAUUGUACAAAGUUCGGUUUGGAUUUUUCUUUGUCAAUACAUUGAAGAUUCUUUUCUACCCGUGAAGGUCCGUUACUUUUAAUUUUGCCAAUAUUUGAACAAAUGAAUGCAUCUUCUUUAAAUUCUUAGUUCAAUAUUUGCAUAAAACUAGCAUGCCAUCUUUAGUGUUUAACGUUCUUAGCAAAAUCUGAUAAAGUUUAUUUGAUUGAAAGUUUUAUUCAUUUUAAUAUUUACGGUGAGUUUCAAAUGUCUUGUGCUAUGUUUAUUAGAGCUAGAUAAUAGCAGUAUUUCUUCGUAAAGAAUUCCUAAGAUUGAAAGGCUUAGUGACUUGGGAGUUGACAUUGUUGCCUGUUGGUAGUGACUUGCUGUCAUUGAAUUCCCUUGGUAUCAUAGAUUUCAAAGCUCAAGAAUUUCAAAUAGUAAUAAGGAGGAAAGUACAUAUUCUGUCACUAAAAUCAUUUUCUGCUGCUGAGUUUGCUGCAUUCUACCUCAAAGUUUGAACCUUCUGUUCCUUGACUUGAUAUCCAGUACACAAGGAUUAUUUUGAAAACAAUAUACAUGUCUUUUAUUUUUACACUUUCUAAAUAUGUUGAGUGGUAACAAUAAAUAUAUAGAUAUUACGUAUAUUUAUUUAUUUUCCCCAUAAAAAAGCACACAUAAUUUGGAUUGCUAGAUAAGAAUUAAUAUGCCAUUAUAACUAGUGUUGCCAUAAGCCCUCCCACGUUCCUUCCAUAAAUAGUUCAUAGAUAGUUCUCUAGUAGUUUGCUUUAGGCGCGUUAAUUAUAUAAUUAUCACGGCUAAUACUAAAAUCUGGGGGUACAUUUCAUGUGACCCGGUUCUAAUUCCAACAAGGGUAGAUAGAACGUGUUGUGAAUUACGGGUGCAUUUCAUGUGGCGUGUCUUGGGAUAUGUUUUAAAUAACCUUGAAUUAAUUCUUUAAAUGAGUAAAAGCGGUUUUCAAAAGUUAAAAUGCACAUAGGUUUAAAAGUGUUUUAAAAUCGGAUAAUUAGGACAAUUAUAACAGUUGAGCGACCGUGCUAGAACCACGAACUCGGGAGUGCCUAACACCUUCUCCCGGGUUAACAGAAUUCCUUACUCGAAUUUCUGGUUUGCGAACUAUUAAACAGAGUCGAUUUUUCCUCGAUUCGGGAUUCAACCGGUGAUUUGGGAUACCAUAAAUCUCCCGAGUGGUGACUCUGAAUCUUUAAAUAAACAAAUCCCGUUUCGAUUGUCCUUUAAUUGAAAAAACUCACUUGUGUUUAUACCCUUUACGGGGUGUAGUAAAAAAGGAGGUGUGACAACCUAUAAGUGUGUUGCUACCCGUCCCUUCUUUGUGGUCCUGGAGGAGUUUAAGACCUCUAAAUCUGGGCAGUUUUAGAUAGCCUAAGGUGUUUAAAAUAGAAAAUCUAGGCGACAAGCAAAGAACAUAUAGGACAAUCAAAUAGGGAGAAGCAGUUAAGGCUCAUGUUUAACUCCACAUGUAUAUAAGCAAAUAAGCAGCACGUCUCAAACAACUAAUUUUGAAUAAGUUCAGAAAGCCUAGGAACAUGAUAUCUAGAUGAACAAUCACAAAACAAAACAUGCAGCGUUUGUAGAAGUGGCAAAAUCCUAACCAGUUGCCUACUAGUUUUAUAGCCUGUUAAACCUGGAUAAUUUCACACAUAAACAGGACUGGUUUCAAAAAUAUUUAACGUUCUAAGGCUUGCCUAAGUGUGUAUAUGCAAUCACGAUUCUGGGAAAAAGUUUGAAGUUCUUUUAUCCUAUAGGCAAGCUUUCCAGUGACAUUUAACAAGACACUGUAUGAAGUUCCAGUUUUAGUACUUAAUGCAUAUGAUAAUUACCCUAUGGACAUGAGUUCUAUCUCUAAUGAGUGAAACUGGUAUUAGUUCUUAUUAGACACGCAUAUUGACUGAGCAAGUGUGACAACCAGUUAAACCUACAUGCAUGAUUUCUAAAGAGAUGGAUUUGAAUAUAUGCUAUAAUGAAAGUUGAACCUUAGUUAUUUUAUUCCCUAUAGGCAUGGCGUCUAAUCAUGUAAAGCAAAGUAGACCGAACUUAUUUCAACCAAAGCAAACCCUAUAGGCAGGUUAUCUAACAAAGCACAUUUGAGCCAAAGUAAAUCCUAUAGGCAUGUUAUCUAGCACGCAAUAGUGAUUGGAGUGAACAUCUAGGCAAGUUUUUAAACAUGCAAUAGUAGAGUGCUUUUGAAUGAAGUAAAGCACAGGUAGGAUAUCUAACAUACAAUAGUAUAAAGCAAAUACCUAUAGGCAUGUUAUCUACCCAACUUUACUCACAAUACCAUACAACUGCCCUCCCUUUUCACUAGUCACCCCAAUAUUUGUUUACAAUUAAUUAUUACAGACCAAUGAUUGAUUAAAAAUUACAUAAAUAAAAAUAUAAAUUAAGCUAUAGGAAACCUGAAGUAGGCCCAAAGAAAAUCCUGGUGUACCAGGCCUUUAGUAGUCUCAAAUGCCAAGGAUUUCAUAUCCCAAUUCAUGUCCAGGUGUGUCAGAGUUCCCUAAGGACCUCAAAGAUCCCGGGCAGUGCUCACACCCAGACUUUUUUCAAAUAAAGACUGAUUAUGUGCAGUGUGGAAGAGCCAGCCCUGAUAUGCCAAAGUUCAAAGAGAUCUCAAGGAUCUCUAGGCAGUACACAUACCAGCGGGGUAGAACUUAAUAAUCUAAGAGUAAGUGAGAGUGCUUAAAAAGACUUAGUGAAAACACUGUGGAGAUAACUUCUUAGGAGUAAAAGAUUUUCUGUAAUAGACCAGUUUUAAGAAAAAUGCUAGGAAUGAAACCAAUUUUAGAAGAACACAUUUGAAAACAGUUCAGAGGAGAGCAAAUUCAGUAGACAAUCAAUAGAUCAUCAAAGGUUCAAUUCCACUGACGUUUUAGCAAACAUGUUUGCACACAGGGGUGAAAGGGGGAUUGGGAACACAUGGAGAUCUUAUUGAGGGUGCAUGAAUGGAGUGCAGGGAGACAGAUAGGAAGUAAUACACAUAGAACACUUAUAACCUUAACAAAUUAACCAAGAUAGUAGGAAACUAAACAUGGAGAAAAGAUGUAGAGGAUAGACACACAAGCAAGAUUAACUAUAGGAAUGAUCACACAACUAGGCAUUACUUCAGUCAUGCUAUUUAAACAUUAGAUAAACAUGUGAAGUGUAAACAUAUUAGUUGCACGUAAAACAGGGCAGGAUUUUAGGCAUGCUUGAGCAAAGAAGUGAAUAAGAGAGUAGGUCAAAUUCACAACCAAUGAACUAAUGCAGGGAUGAAACACAUAGAGUUUGGGUGCCAAAUGUAGCUAGAUACAUACUGGUUGAGGGAAAAGAGUGCAGAAUAUAGAGAAAGUAGCCUCACUGUCUAGCCUUAACUAGACCCACAAUAGCACAAGUAACACAAGUAGCGAAGAAGGAGAAUAGUUUGAGUGUGUGUGUGUAUAUUGUGAACUGAUGUCUGUCCGAGAAACAGAACAGUGGCGGGGGGAGGGGGGUUAUAGUAUGUAAUAGAGUAGGACACAUAAGGUAAUGAGCCAAUCAUAUGCACAUAAAGUAUGGAAAUCAAUUAACAAUCACUCAUGACUCAAUUAAGGGACCAAAAUCUCAUAAAUGAUACUUAAUUUAAGGAAGUCUAAUACGAACUCCUUUAGUAAAUUAGAGCAAGGUUAAUAAGGUAAUAAAUAAUCAAACAAUCGAUCAAGUGAAGUCAGUCAUGAGUAAAUUAGCCUCAAAAUCAGACUACUAUUACUUAAUUUAAGGAAAAUUGUAUAUGGAAUCAAUCAGUAAUUAAGGGCUAGGUUAAAUAAGGCAAGAACUGACUCUGAAAUCAAUUAGAAGUUGGUUCUGAAAAUCAAAGCAUAAAAUCAGGCUAGCAGCACAAAUUAUUAAUUACACAUAAGGUAAGAAAACUAAUUAAGGUUGUAAACAAGGGAAAUAAUCAAGAAUCAACACAUAAGUUUUGACAGAGCAAAUCAGUAGAUCAAAAUUCAAAGUAGUACUGAUUUAUGGGGGGAAAUAUCAGUUUCCAAAAAUAGAUAGCUAGGCUAAAUAGAAUUUUAGAAAUUAGCCAAGAAAUCGAAUCAGAAACCCUAAUAGAGAUGCACUAGGGCAAAAAUCACAAGACGUUGAAUUAGACUAAAAGGAAAUCAUGAAAGUCAAAGCACAGACAAAACGAUGUAACAAGUAACACGGAAAAGACUCAGAAUCGAAGCAAAAUAUAAGAAAAUUAGGGUUUCAGCAUAAAUCGAUUAGGGUCCAGACAAUUUUAGCAGAAAUCAAUCAAUAAUACUUAAUAACAGAUGAUUAACAUUCGAAAAUCAGGAAAACUUUGAGAAGACGAGUUUCAGUAAACCCUAGUUUUAGGACGAAUGAAAAAUCACUUGAAAAAACAGGAAACUUUCAAGAAAACAUGUGAAGUACGUUCAAUCCGUCUCAGAUCUGAGAAAAUCAAAGAUGAAAUUAGGUUUUUUUUAGAAGUGAAAUAGAGAUGAGAACAUACACUUAAGAGUCCAUGGAUAAAAAUGAAAAAGAUCUUACUUAAGGUCGGGUCAAAUGGCCUGAAAUAGGCAAGAAAAUCCCAAAGUGUAAACAGACUGCCUAGGUCCCUUGAGAAUCUCCUCAAGGAUCCAAGAAAUGGAGAUAUCAUAGCAUAGGGGAGGUCAUUAGAGGCCUGGGGUGGUGAAUAUCUACCAUAGGAAGGCAGCCGGUGAAUGAGGGUGAAUUAGGGUUAGAGUUAGAGAGCAUUUGAGAGACGAGGGAACAGGUGACGGCGGGGAAAGAGUGAAAAAUGAUUAGGGUUUGGGGGUGUAUGUGGGUUUAAUUAUGGUAGGAAAUAUCCUGACCGUUGAACAAAAGUGAUCAACGGCCAGGAUUGGCCACGGUGUUUGGAUCGGGCAGGUGGAUAUUGGGCUGGUUUAUAAGGGAUAUUGGGCUGCUUAAUUUUAGGACAAAAUUGAAAUAAAAAAAGGCUAUUUAUUAAAUAUCCCAAACAAUUGAUUAAAAAUUAAUUUAUAAAAAUAAUUAUAAAUUAUAAAAAAUGAAUCUCGUGCAUAUAAAUGUUUUAAAUAUAGUUAUUUAGUAUUCAAAAAUACGGAGGACUAGUUUCUCAUAAAAUAAUACCAGAAAUAUACGCAUGGGUUAUAAUUGCAAAGUUAUUGCAAUUAUAACCAAAAGGUGCUAAUUUGGCUAUUUAUAAAAUAAUUUGGACUCACUAGGACCUAUAAUAGUAAUAUUAAAUCAAGACAUGUUCUAAAUUCAUUUGUGAUGUAAUUUUACAACUAUUUAUAUGAAGAAAAUAUUGAAAUAAAUUAAUUUAAGGAUGUAAGAAUUACGGAAAAAUACUCUUGGAUGCUAAUGCAUAGUUUUAAAGGUAUAUAUGCAUUUUAAAAAUAUUAUAGGGAAAAAUUGGGUAUCAACGAGCAUGACUGAUGAUUACAAAUUGCUAUACUUCGCUUCAAACAUACAUACACUUCGAGAGAUCGAAUCAGCUACUGCCCCAGGUGGUAGGGAUAGUGGAUGCUUACUAAUUAGUAUGUGUAAAGGUAAUGAAGCAUUUGGGAUAACCAGGAUCUAAGCAAGUUAGAGCCAUAAAACAAACAUGAAGCAUGGACAUCACCAAUAGAAUUUCUAGAGUAGCACCCAUAAGAUCAACAUCCUUCAAAGCUCAGAGAAGAUAGUUAAGAAACAACCCUAGUCCGCAUUAUUAAAUUCCUUUCUCCAAAGAAAAGUUUUCUCAAUCAUCACAAAACCUUCUUCAGCUUGAACUAAGUUCUCGUGAAAGAUAUGCCUAAAGAGGAUUACUAAAUGACGUAUCCUUUAGCUCCCCUGUAGUUGUGCUUUUUAACUAAAUUAUAAUCCUACCCCCCCCCCCCUUUUUUUUUGUCAAACACCUAAUAAAUCAUUAGGAGGUUUAUUUUGUUUUUAGUAAGGCAUUAGAAAUCUAUAUUAUAUUAAAAGGAGGGUAGUAUGCAUUGUGGUUAAGCCAAGUGGCAAGCUAAAAUGAAGUCACUUGGCAAUUUUAGGACAACAUUAAUAAUUAAAAAUUAUAAAUAAAAACACAAUUAAUGUAAAUAGUUUAAUAAAUCUUAUACAUAAUUAUAUUUGUAUCUAUAUCUAUAUCUGUGUCUAUAUUUUGAUUCACUCAUAGAUUUUCUUCUAUAUUAGCUAGAAAUAUGGAGGUAAAAAAUUAAUUAAAAAUUUGAAAAACUAUAAUUGAAAAAAUAAAAAAUAUAGAAACACGUAAAUUGAGAUAACCUAUGACUAUUUAUAUUUCGGAGUAUGUUAAAAUAUAAAAUAAAACUAAAUUUUACUUAAGAUAUUAAGGAUUUAUUGAGUAUAAAAAUUAAAUAAAUUCAAGUAGCAAAAUAAGAUCUUACAUAAAGUAUACAAAUUAUAUAUAAGGUAAGAAAAAAAUUAAAUAAUAAGUAAAAAAUAUUUUAAUGACAAGAAUAAUAAAGUCAUAUUAAUAUUAAUAAAUCGGGCAAACAAAUAUUUUAUAUGUAAAUAGUACUACAACAUUUAGAGGUGCUAGGUAUAUCAAAGGGUUUUUCUGGCAGGCACCAAGGCGACUAGUGGUGGAAUGACGUAGUCCAAGGUAAAGUGGAGGCGAAGAAGGUAGCGUACGCGAAGUUGGCAGGGAGCACAAGCGAGGAGGAGAGGAGAGCGAAUAGAGAGAGGUACAAAAUGGCUAGGAAGGAGGCAAAGCUGGCGGCCACGGAGGCUAAGAAUGUAGCGUUUAGUCGUCUAUACAAGGAAUUGGGGGAGAAAGGCAGGGACAGGAUGUUGUUUCGGCUAGCUAAAGCGAGGGAGAGGAACGCCCGGGAUCUGGACCAAGUAAGGUGCAUCAAAGAUGAGGAUGGUAGAGUAUUGAUGGGGGACGUCCCAGAUUAAGCAGAGAUGGUAGACGUACUUCUAUUGUCACGACCUUAAACCCGAAUCCGGUCGUGAUGGCGCCUCUCAUGAAGACAAGGCCAGCCAAUUAAACCCAACUCAAUUUUUAAAAUAAUUACACAAUGUAAAAGCAGUCUAAAACAUGAUUUAAUAAUACUAAGUAGCGGACAUUAUCAAUAAGGUGCGGAAGUACACCAACACAGACCUAACCGGGGUGUCACAAGUCACGAGCAUCUAACAACACAGAAUACUCAAACGUAACAACAGAGUUAAAUAAUAAACUAAGGACAUAAAGGAAAAGAGAUAGGGAGGAGCUCCGAGCUUCAAACGCCAACAGCUACCUAAAGACUCCUCGAGAUCUGCCUAAAGCUGGAAUGAAUCAGCACUCGGGAGCGGGACCAGCUACGCCUGAAUCUGCACACAGGGUGCAGGGAGUAAAGUGAGUACUUUAACUUAGUGAGUAACAAAUGUAAAUAACGACUGAAAGUAAGAAAACACGUAAGCCACAAGGCAUUCUAUAAUGAAGCAGUAAAACCAUUUAAAAGCAGUAAACCAGUGAAAAGUAAGAAAAUUUCUUUUUGGACAAAUAAACAGGUAAUUGGCAGGCAGUUAAGGUAAAUUAAACAAAUAGAAGUUUGCCCCUCGGGCACAGUAUCAACCACUCCGCCCCUCGGGCAAACAUCUCAGAACAGUACCAGCCCCUCGGGCUCAAUCUCACAUCACAAUAGGUAUCCGCGCUCACUGGGGGUGUGCAGACUCCUGGAGGGGCCCCUUACGGCCUAAGCACAAUAACAAGUCAUCUCGUGGCAUCAAAACUAGGCCCUCGGCCUCAUAUCAAUCAAGCCACCUCGUGGCGUACAUAUCUCAGGCCCUCGGCCUCAAAUCAGUAUCAGUGUUUCCUCACAACAUAGGCCCUCGGACUUACUCAGUCCGAAAAUCAUCAUAAGCCCCUCAGAAAUUAGUAAAACAGUAUCUCUCAGCCCAAAACAUCAUUUAAAAUAUCAUUUAAAUUUCAAAACUGAGUAAAAAUGGCUUAGUAGUAAAACAGUGGAAAAUAACAUGACUGAGUUCAAGUAAUAAGGCAAAACAGUAAGAAAAUAGUAAUAAAAAUCCCGAAGGGUUCAAAUAGUUGGCAUGAAGCCCAAAUAUGGCAUUAAGCCCAAAUCAUGAUGAUAGCAAAUAAGUUUCAGUCAAAUACACGGUAAAAAUUAUCAACCGGGACGGACCAAGUCAUAAUCCCCAAUAGUGCACGACCCCACGCUCGUCAUCAAGCGUGUGUCUCACCUCAAUAUAGCACUACAAUGUGCAAUCCGGGAUUUCAAACCCUUAGAACAUCAUUUACAAUCAUUACUCACCUCGAACUGGCUAAAUCUCUAGCUCGCGACUCCUUUGCCCCUCGAAUCGGCCUCCACGCGCAUCAAAUCUAUCCAAAAUCAGAAUAAGGACGUCAAAAUAUGCUAAGGGAACGAAGCCCAAGCAAAAACUAUCAAUAAAGGGCACAAAUUCCAAAAUUACCAAAACCCGACCCCCGGGCCUACAUCUCGAAAUUCAGAAAUAUUUACACCAAUAGAUUCCUUAUCUUCCCACAAGUUCAUACAUAUCAAAAGUUCAGAAAUCCGACCUCAAAUGGUCCAUCAAAUCCUCAAUCAUAGGUCUCCAAUACUAAACCCUAGUUUCCCCAAAUUUCACCCUUAAUUUCCAUAAUUUCUAGCUUUAAACCGUGAAAUAAUAGCAUAGGAAUGAGUUUAAAGUCCAAAUCUCUUACCUCAAUGAAGUUUCCUUAAAAUCUCUCUUUCAAUUCGUCCAAAAAGCUCCCAAGCUGAAGUCAAAAAUGGUGAAAUAACUCAAAAUUUGCGAAGGGGACAAUUUAUACCUUCUGCCCAGACAUUUUCGCAUCUGCGACCCUUUAACCGCUUUUGCGGAACUGCAUUUGCGGUCAUCCCUCCGCUUCUGCGGAAAUCACUAACUAGCCCAAAAUCGCAUCUGCGAUAAGCCUUCCGCAUCUGCGGAGUCGCAAAUGCGGCCAUCCUAACCGCUUCUGCGGUUCCUGACAUUCUUCCAUAAUCCGCUUAUGCGGUUCCUCUUCCGCACGUGUGGCGCCGCACCUGCGGUCCCCAAUCCGCAGGCGCAAAAAUACUAGAAACAACAAAUUCAGUUGCUGCAACAAAAAUCCAACUUCUCCUUUAACCAUCCGAAAUCACCCCGAGGCCUCCAGGACCUCAACCAAAAGCACAAACAUAACUCAAUACCUUAUUCAAACUUGUUCUAAUCAUCAAAUAACAUCAAAUCACCCAAAACACAUCGAAUCCAAGCUAAACUUUCUAAAAGAUUUCCGCUUUUGAUCAAAAACCCAACCAAAUCACGUCCGAAUGACCUGAAAUUUUGCACACACAUCCCAAAUGACCCAACGGAACUACUGCCACUCUCGAAAUUCCAUUCCGACCCCUAUAUCAAAAUCUCGCUGAUCAACCGAAAAUCGCCAAAAUAUCAAUUUCACCAAUUCAAGCCUAAAUCUACUCUGCACCUCCAAAACACAAUCGAUCACACACCUAAGUCAUAAAUUACCUCCCGAAGCUAACUGAACCAUCGGAACUCACAUCUGAGUCCUCUAAAACAUAAGUCAAUAUCCGGUUGGCUUUUCCAACUUAACUUUCCUUAAAAGAGACUAAGUAUCUCAAACUUUACCAAAAUUAUUCCGGAUUUGAUCCGACCAACCCCAUACCACAAAACACGGAUAACAAAGCAUAAAGAAGCAGAAAUGGGGGAAACGGAGCGGUAACUCAUGAGACGACUAGUCAGGUCGCCACAUCCUCCUCAACUUAAACAAACGUUUGUCCUUGAACGAGUCAAAAAACAUACCUGAAGCCUUAAACGGGUAAGGAUAUCUGCUCCGCAUCUCCCCAUCGGUCUCCCAGGUAGCCUUCUCUACGGGCCGACCUCUCCACUGCACCUUCACUGAAGCUAUAUCCUUUGACCUCAACUUCCGAACCUAACGACCCAAAAUAGGUACUAGCUCCACAUUAUAGGUCAAAUCAUCAUCCAACUGAACCGUGCUGAAAUCCAGAAUAUGAGACGGAUCCCCAAUAUACUUCCGGAGCAUAGAAACAUGAAAUACUGGAUGCACGCUCGACAAGCUGGGUGGCAAAGCAAGCUCAUAAGCCACCUCACCAAUCCUCCGAAGCACCUCAAAAGGCCUAAUAAAUCGCGGACUCAAUUUCCCUUUCUUCCCAAAUCUCAUAACACCCUUUAUGGGUGAAACCUUCAACAGAACCUUCUCGCCAACCAUGUACGACAUAUUUCGAACCUUCCUAUCAGCAUAACUCUUUUGCCUCGACUGCGCUGUACGAAGCCUCUCCUGAAUCACCUUCACAUUCUCCAAAGCAUCCUGCACCAAAUGGAGCCAUCUGAAUACUCGACUGGUAGUUGUUGUUAUAAGCAAACUCUGCAAGCGGUAGAAACUCAUCCCAUGAUCCUCCAAAAUCAAUGACACAAGCACGUAACAUGUCUUCCAAUAUCUGAAUAGUGCGCUUGGACUGCCCGUCCGUCUGAGGAUGAAAAGUUGUGCUCAACUCCACUUGAGUACCCAACUCUCUCUGCAUGACCCUCCAAAACUGCAAAGUAAACUGAGUACCUCUAUCUGAAAUGAUGGAAACCGGAACACCAUGCAAGCGAACUAUCUCUUGGAUAUAGAUCCCUGCCAACCGCUUUGAAGAAUAGGUAGUACACACAGGAAUGAAUUGCGCGGACUUGGUCAGCCAAUCCAUAAUCACCCAAAUAGCAUUGAACUUCAUCAAAGUCCGCAGAAGUCCAACAACAAAGUCCAUAGUGAUCCUCCCCCACUUCCACUCUGGAAUAUCUAUCUGCUGAAGCAAGCCACCCGGUCUUUAAUGCUCAUGUUUCACCUACUGACAAUUAAGACACCGAGCUACAAAUCCCACAAUAUCUUUCUUCAUUCUUCUCCACCAAUAAUGCUGCCUCAAAUCCGGAUACAUCUUCGUAGCACCCGGAUGAAUGGAAUACUGCGAGCUCUAGGCCUUCUCCAGGAUCAACUCCUGAAGCCCAUCCACAUUAGGCACACAAAUCCGGCCAUGUAUCCUCAACACCCCAUUAUCACCAAUGGUCACAUCUCUAGCAUCAUCAUGCUGAACUUUGUCCCUAAGGACAAGCAAAUGCGGAUCAUCAUAUUGGCGCUCUCUGAUGCGAUCAUAUAAAGAAGAUCGAGAAACCAUACCAGUCAAUACCCGACUGGGCUCCGAAAGAUCUAACCUCACAAACUGAUUGGCCAAGGCUUGAACAUCAAUUCCAAGAGGUCUCUCCCCAAUUGGAAUAUAUGUCCAACUCCCCAUACUCACUACCUUUCGGCUCAAAGCAUCGGCCACCACAUCGGUCUUUCCCGGAUGAUACAAUAUAAUGAUAUCAUAAUCCUUAAGCAACUCAAACCAUCUCUGCUGCCUCAAAUUAAGAUCUUUUUGCUUAAACAAAUGCUGAAGACUGCGAUGAUCAGUGAACACCUCACAAGAUACGCCAUACAGAUAAUGCCUCCAAAUCUUCAAUGCGUGAACUAUGGCAGCCAACUCCAAAUCAUGAACGGGGUAGUUCUUCUCAUUGGGCUUCAACUAACGAGAAGCAUAAGCAAUAACUCUACCCUCUUGCAUCAACACAUAACCAAUCCCAACUCUCGAAGCAUCACAAUACACUGUAUAUGAACCUGAAGCUGAUGGCAAAACCAACACUGGAGUUGUGGUCAAAUCUGUCUUGAGCUUCUAAAAGCUCUCCCCCCACUCGUCCGACCAUACAAAUGAAGCACCCUUCUAAGUCUUGGUCAAGGGCGAUGUGAUAGAUGAGAAUCCCUAAACAAACCGGCUAUAAUAGCCUACCAAACCAAGAAAGAUGUGAAUCUCUGUAGCUGAGGACGGUCUGGGCCAACUCUGAAUUGCCUCUAUCUUCUUCGAAUCAACCUAAAUACCCUCGUUGGACACCACGUGCCCCAAGAAAGCCACUGAACUGAGCUAAAACUCACACUUGGAUAAUUUUGCAUAAAGAUUCUCCUCCCUCAAUCUCCGCAACACAACUCUCAAAUGCUCCGCGUGCUUCUCUUGACUACGCGAAUACACCAGAAUAUCAUCAAUGAAGACUAUGAUAACCAAUGAGUAACCAAUGGGUCAACUUUUACAUUUAUAAAGCCUCAAAUUGGGGGUUACUCAAGUUAGGGAGACUAAGAAUUCUCCCAAAAGUAAUCAUAUACAAGAAGUCAUAGAUAACCCAUAUUAUCUGCCGGUUAUCCCAUUUUUUAUCCGUAUUAAAUAUGGAUCGGGUCAAAUAAUUGAUCCAUAUUUUCAUUACCCGUUUUCAGCCCGAACCAUAUCCGACCCGCCCAUUUGUCACUCCUACUUGUUGCAUAUGAAUAUAGAAACCUCAUAAACUCAACGUUUAAUGCUCAUAUAAGUGAUGAUGAUGAGCACCUUACAAAUGCGGAUUGAGCUAAUGUUAAAAUGCUUGUAGAUUUUUUAGAAAAAUUUCAUACUGCUACAAAUAAAUUUUCUGGGCAAUAUUAUCCUACUAUUUCUAACUGUUUAGUUUAUAUUGCAGAACUUGCAAAUUUGUUUGCUCAUUUUUCAGAGGGUGGGAUAAUUUAUGAACUUGCUAUUGAUUCUAUGAAAAAAAAAAUUAAAAAUAUUUUUUUCCUAUUCCCCAUAUUUAUGGUGUUGCUGCCUUGUUAAAUUCUACUACGAAAUUAGGAGGUCCACAAUUUUCGUAUGAAACUGUUUAUAAUGGUUUAGCACUUGAAGAUGAGGAGUUGUCUAAACUUCCAGAUGUAAUAGCCUCAAUUAAAAUAAAUGCUCAAACUAUUUAUAAUGCUUAUCAAGUUCCAUUAGAUUAUGCUAGACCAAAUGUUCCAACUCCUUCUUCUUCUAGUUCUCAAUCAUCUAAAAGAACUGUGGGAGUAAGAGCACUUAGUGCUUGGACGGGGUUCUCAAGGUUCUAUUACUAUUGAUUUUUCACAACUAAAUGAGUUUGAAGUUUAUUUGUCACAGGGAAUUGACGAAGUGAAUCCCAACGGCUCCUUUAGUAUUUUGGAAUAGUGGAAGGACAAAGAAAAUCACUUUUCGAUUCUUUCAAGGAUGGCCCGAGAUAUUUUAACUAUUCAAGAUUUAACAGUGGCAUCAGAGAACGCUUUCAGUCAAGCAAGACUUCAACUCGGUGAUUAUAGAGCGUCUAUGAUGGAGAGCUUGGAAAAAUCAGUACUUUUUAGAGAUUGAAUCCGUUCGGAAAGAAGAAAUUUUGGACUUGAUGAAUCACAACCAGAGGUAGAUGAAGCUUACGAAGAAAUGCUAGCUCAACUUGCGGAGUAUGUUGGUUUGCCCAGAAGCGGCGAUGACCAAGAUUAUUUUUCGCCACCACCAACGAAAAUUCCUCCGGACCUUGAAGGAUUUAUGAAAUUUGUAAGAGAUACCAUGUAACUUGUAUGAACAAAAAUUAAUAUGUAACUUGUAUUUUGGCACAUCUUGAUUAGUUUCUUUUUCUUCUCAAUGGUGAUAUUAGCACCUUGUUGUGGUCAUUCUAUAGGAUGGGAG